rnacentral:lncRNA from 1 species
CAGGUGUUGCAACCUAUUUUCUCUCAACUCGCAUGUUUUCUGAAACAAGGGGUAAUUAUCAUUAAGGAUUCUGAUAUCAAUUUACAUACCUCGGCGUGGGAGACUUUAGAUAUGACGAUUACGACUGCGACAUCGGGAGUGCUUUCAAGCGGUUUGUUGGAAUGGAAGUUUCGGCUACUCAGUUCUGAAAGAUGAAAAAGAUCGCGAAUCAUUUGACGUGAGAGCAGCAAAAAGUUUGAAAAUGGCGAUUGUACAUUGAAAUGAAGAUUGAACAUUGAAAUGAAGAUUGAAAAUUGAAAUGAAGAUUGAAAAUGAACAUUCUGAAUCAAAAUAGGGAAAAAAAACUAUUUACUAAAACUUGGAACUUUUGAAAUUUGGAAAAUAUUAUCCAUGAA